GGCGAACGGGUGAGUAACACGUGAGCAAUCUGCCCUUCACACGGGGAUAACUUCGGGAAACCGAAGCUAAUACCCGAUACGACCACUUCAGGCAUCUGAUGGUGGUGGAAAGUUCCGGCGGUGAAGGAUGAGCUCGCGGCCUAUCAGCUUGUUGGUGGGGUAAUGGCCCACCAAGGCAACGACGGGUAGCCGGCCUGAGAGGGUGACCGGCCACACUGGGACUGAGACACGGCCCAGACUCCUACGGGAGGCAGCAGUGGGGAAUAUUGGACAAUGGGCGAAAGCCUGAUCCAGCAACGCCGCGUGAGGGAUGACGGCCUUCGGGUUGUAAACCUCUUUCAGCAGGGACGAAGCGCAAGUGACGGUACCUGCAGAAGAAGCACCGGCCAACUACGUGCCAGCAGCCGCGGUAAUACGUAGGGUGCGAGCGUUGUCCGGAAUUAUUGGGCGUAAAGGGCUCGUAGGCGGUCUGUCACGUCGGGAGUGAAAACACGGGGCUUAACCCCGUGCCUGCUUCCGAUACGGGCUGACUAGAGGUAUGCAGGGGAGAACGGAAUUCCUGGUGUAGCGGUGAAAUGCGCAGAUAUCAGGAGGAACACCGGUGGCGAAGGCGGUU
rnacentral:rRNA from 1 species